GCCUAGAAACCAAUCAAGAAGUUACAUAAAGAGUACAAAAAUAAUUUGUAGCUGUUUAUUUUUAGCGGUAUUUAAAGUGCACUGGAAAUUCAUAUAUGUAUUAGGCACACUCAAAACCAAAUUUUGGGGGGGGAGGAUAAUGAUAAUAUAUAGCAGGAUUUCAACACAUUAAGCGGACAAAAAAAACUCACCAGAAUAACUACAGCCCAUUGUCC